rnacentral:rRNA from 1 species
AACAGCAGCCAUAUCACCCUGCAACUCACAACUGGCAACCCACUGAAGCUCAGCAGGUGUGAGCCUGGUCAGUACCUGGAUAGGAGACUCCUGGGAAAGCUAAGGUUGCUGCUGAAA